UUUCAGGUGUGGUGCUAGACAUGGUC
rnacentral:piRNA from 1 species